UUGUCAGCUUGGAUCACGUGAUCCAUCCAGCUGCCGCGUGCGGCAAACAGCCCAAAUAGCGCUAACUCUGGCCUGCGAGCGUUUGCUGCGACUAGCGCGCUAGCGCUCGUGACAUACACAAACGCGCUAGCCAGAAUGCUUUGACUUUGAUGGCUUUCAGCUUCUAUUUUUUGAAAAGUAGCGCGCUCAGACCAGCUCGCUCACUCUUUUCCUCUUCCAUUUUUUAGGGCAAUUGUUUUGUUUGAUAGACGAAGCUUAGGGUCUCUUUGGGUUUGCAACCCUUACCCUCCUGGAAAAAAUCAUAGUUGCUAGACUGCGACACUUCAGACCAGGUACUAUUAGAGCCGCUAAUGGACGACGAGCUAUUUUCCGCUAUCCGGAGCUCAAGCAUUUGAGCCGCUAAAUGGACGAGACUCCUGGGGUAAAGGAUGCAGAGAAUGAGGAGAAAACACUCGUAUGGAGCAGGGAGUAGGUAUUGUACUACUUCCUGGUAUGGAGCACUGAGAAGCGCUUGGUGACAUCGUCCAAGAUCGACAGGGAUGGCGGGUCACCUGCCGUGACGCUGUCGACGCUAUUGUCCAGUCCCGCAUGGAGCCUGUGGCGAAGCCCCUCAUUUGUGGCACAGGAUAUUGCGACGCACAAGUGUAACGCUGUUCGCACGGCCCGCGCGCGCUGAGUACGGCGUUCCCCGCCCGGUGGACAACACGUCUCCUGGUCUGCCCCGUAUGGGGCCACAUAGCCAGUCAUGGCAGUGGAAGAAGGAAGGAAGGAAGCUUUCACCGUCCAGGAGCGACACUGACUCGCACUGCUAUCUGGUGCUCACGAGGUGUUUGUCGCGCUGCAAACGGAGCGUCUCUCAUUAGGCGAUUUGAUCGCAGGACGAGAGAGGAGCUGAUGGACGAUCUCUCCAAUGUUCCUCUUGGUUCGGAGCGGCGCCGAGUGCUGACGUUGGGACUUGGCACCGCUAGCUAAACCGACCAACGGCUACUCCCAGGGCACAAACUAUUCUGCUGGAGGCAGCGUCGUCUUCGGCUGAAAUUCCGGAUACAACCUGCAGGGAAGCAUUGUGCGCAUCUGCCAGAUUGACGGUUCCUGGAGUGGGGCAGCUGCCUCGUGUAAUCGUAAGUUGAAUUUCAAGAGAGCCAAUAUAUCCCUCUUGUGUAGAGAAGCUUCAGGCUUGUAGGAAGGCAGAUUCUGGUGGCGUUGAUCUUUCCUAUUUACAGAGCAUGUAAUAGUCUGGGUGUUACCUGCCACUUUUCAUCAUCACAAAUGAUGAUCGUGCUUAUCACAGGACCCAGGACCAGUCGAGCAUCUCAGCCUGAGUCCUUAGGAUAUAUGUUAUACUUGUAGGUGUAUGGUUAGGGUGUUUCACCGGGUAGAGGCGACGGUUUCAAAUAGGACACAGGUUGCAAACCGGAACGGACUCAAUAUUCACUUUCUCUCUUGGUAUUUUCAUUAGAAAACAUAUGUCACAGUGAGACUACGAUGUGUUAUACUCCGAGCCAAAAUUUCAUGGCUCUGCGAUGACCAGACGCACCAUACCAAGCAGGUGAGUUUUUGACGUGUUGCUUCGCACUGCGACUUGAGUUUUACGACUUUCGAAAAAUCCACUUCUUGUCGCAGGUAAACAGCGGCUCGCCUCUUGCCAAUAAAGCACCGCAUACCAAUCAAAAC